rnacentral:rRNA from 1 species
CGUGAGCGGCGGACGGGUGAGUAACGCGUGGGUAACCUGCCUCAUACAGGGGGAUAACAGUUGGAAACGGCUGCUAAUACCGCAUAAGCGCACAGUACCGCAUGGUACGGUGUGAAAAACUCCGGUGGUAUGAGAUGGACCCGCGUCUGAUUAGGUAGUUGGUGGGGUAACGGCCUACCAAGCCGACGAUCAGUAGCCGACCUGAGAGGGUGACCGGCCACAUUGGGACUGAGACACGGUCCAA